CCCUUAGAUGUCCUGGGCCGUACGCGCGCUACACUGAACGGAUCAGCGCGUUUUCCCUUCCCGAGAGGGACGGGUAACCUGCUGAACCCCGUUCGUGGUAGGGAUCGGGGCUUGCAAUUAUUCCCCGUGAACCAGGAAUGCCCAGUAAGUGCAAGUCAUAAGCUUGCGUUGAUUACGUCCCUGCCCUUUGUACACACCGCCCGUCGCUACUACCGAUUGAACGUUUUAGUGAGGUACUCGGACUGAGCCUCAGAAGAUUCACGUCUUUUGUGCUGCUCGGGAAGAUUCCCAAACUUGAGCGUUUAGAGGAAGUAAAAGUCGUAACA
rnacentral:rRNA from 1 species